rnacentral:rRNA from 1 species
UACGUAGGGUGCAAGCGUUAAUCGGAAUUACUGGGCGUAAAGCGUGCGCAGGCGGUCUUGCAAGACAGAUGUGAAAUCCCCGGGCUCAACCUGGGAACUGCAUUUGUGACUGCAAGGCUAGAGUACGGUAGAGGGGGAUGGAAUUCCGCGUGUAGCAGUGAAAUGCGUAGAUAUGCGGAGGAACACCGAUGGCGAAGGCAAUCCCCUGGGCCUGUACUGACGCUCAUGCACGAAAGCGUGGGGAGCAAACAGG